UUUUAUGGAGAGUUUGAUCCUGGCUCAGGAUGAACGCUGGCGGCGUGCCUAAUACAUGCAAGUCGAGCGAACGGACGAGAAGCUUGCUUCUCUGAUGUUAGCGGCGGACGGGUGAGUAACACGUGGAUAACCUACCUAUAAGACUGGGAUAACUUCGGGAAACCGGAGCUAAUACCGGAUAAUAUUUUGAACCGCAUGGUUCAAAAGUGAAAGACGGUCUUGCUGUCACUUAUAGAUGGAUCCGCGCUGCAUUAGCUAGUUGGUAAGGUAACGGCUUACCAAGGCAACGAUGCAUAGCCGACCUGAGAGGGUGAUCGGCCACACUGGAACUGAGACACGGUCCAGACUCCUACGGGAGGCAGCAGUAGGGAAUCUUCCGCAAUGGGCGAAAGCCUGACGGAGCAACGCCGCGUGAGUGAUGAAGGUCUUCGGAUCGUAAAACUCUGUUAUUAGGGAAGAACAUAUGUGUAAGUAACUGUGCACAUCUUGACGGUACCUAAUCAGAAAGCCACGGCUAACUACGUGCCAGCAGCCGCGGUAAUACGUAGGUGGCAAGCGUUAUCCGGAAUUAUUGGGCGUAAAGCGCGCGUAGGCGGUUUUUUAAGUCUGAUGUGAAAGCCCACGGCUCAACCGUGGAGGGUCAUUGGAAACUGGAAAACUUGAGUGCAGAAGAGGAAAGUGGAAUUCCAUGUGUAGCGGUGAAAUGCGCAGAGAUAUGGAGGAACACCAGUGGCGAAGGCGACUUUCUGGUCUGUAACUGACGCUGAUGUGCGAAAGCGUGGGGAUCAAACAGGAUUAGAUACCCUGGUAGUCCACGCCGUAAACGAUGAGUGCUAAGUGUUA
rnacentral:rRNA from 2 species